rnacentral:rRNA from 1 species
UACGGAAACGGGUAUUAUUGUGGCGUAAAGCGCACGCAGGCGGUUUGUUAAGUCUGAUGUGAAAUCCCCGGGCUCAACCUGGGAACUGCAUUUGAAACUGGCAAGCUUGAGUCUCGUAGAGGGGGGUAGAAUUCCAGGUGUAGCGGUGAAAUGCGUAGAGAUCUGGAGGAAUACCGGUGGCGAAGGCGACCCCCUGGUCUGUAACUGACGCUCAGGUGCGAAAGCGUGGGGAGCAAACAGGAUUAGAUACCCUGGUAGUCCACGCCGUAAACGAUGACUACUUGGAGGUUGAGGCCUUGAGGCCUGUCUUCCGGAGCUAACGCGUUAAAUCGACCGCCUGGGGGAUUCGGCCGCAAGGUUAAAACUCCAAUGGAUUGACCGGGGCCCCCCCAAACCGGGGAACCUGGGGUUUUAUUCCAUGCCACGCCAAGAACCUUUCCUACUCUUGACCUCCAUAUAACUUUCCUGAGAUGGAUUGGUGUCUUCCGGAACUCUGAGACAGGUGCUGCAUGGCUGUCGUCAGCUCGUGUUGUGAAAUGUUGGGUUAAGUCCCGCAACGAGCGCAACCCUUUGAUCUUUUGUUGCCAUCGGUUCGGCCGGGC